rnacentral:tRNA from 1 species
GAGGGUAUAGCUCAGUGGCAGAGCACAUGCUUAACAUGCAUGAAGUCCUAGGUUCAAUCCUCAGUACCUCCA